GGNNNNGGGUGCUACCAUGCAGUCGACGGUGAACACGGAGCUUGCUCUGUGGGAUCAGUGGCGAACGGGUGAGUAACACGUGAGCAACCUGCCCCUGACUCUGGGAUAAGCGCUGGAAACGGCGUCUAAUACUGGAUACGAGUAGCGACCGCAUGGUCAGUUACUGGAAAGAUUUAUUGGUUGGGGAUGGGCUCGCGGCCUAUCAGCUUGUUGGUGAGGUAAUGGCUCACCAAGGCGUCGACGGGUAGCCGGCCUGAGAGGGUGACCGGCCACACUGGGACUGAGACACGGCCCAGACUCCUACGGGAGGCAGCAGUGGGGAAUAUUGCACAAUGGGCGCAAGCCUGAUGCAGCAACGCCGCGUGAGGGAUGACGGCCUUCGGGUUGUAAACCUCUUUUAGCAGGGAAGAAGCGAAAGUGACGGUACCUGCAGAAAAAGCGCCGGCUAACUACGUGCCAGCAGCCGCGGUAAUACGUAGGGCGCAAGCGUUAUCCGGAAUUAUUGGGCGUAAAGAGCUCGUAGGCGGUUUGUCGCGUCUGCUGUGAAAUCCGGAGGCUCAACCUCCGGCCUGCAGUGGGUACGGGCAGACUAGAGUGCGGUAGGGGAGAUUGGAAUUCCUGGUGUAGCGGUGGAAUGCGCAGAUAUCAGGAGGAACACCGAUGGCGAAGGCAGAUCUCUGGGCCGUAACUGACGCUGAGGAGCGAAAGGGUGGGGAGCAAACAGGCUUAGAUACCCUGGUAGUCCACCCCGUAAACGUUGGGAACUAGUUGUGGGGUCCAUUCCACGGAUUCCGUGACGCAGCUAACGCAUUAAGUUCCCCGCCUGGGGAGUACGGCCGCAAGGCUAAAACUCAAAGGAAUUGACGGGGACCCGCACAAGCGGCGGAGCAUGCGGGUUAAUUCGAUGCAACGCGAAGAACCUUACCAAGGCUUGACAUAUACGAGAACGGGGCCAGAAAUGGUCAACUUCUUUUGGACACUCGUAAAACAGGUGGUGCAUGGGUUGUCGUCGCUCGUGUCGUGAAAUGUCGGAUUAAGGUCCCAGCUACCAGGCGCAA
rnacentral:rRNA from 1 species